rnacentral:rRNA from 1 species
GACGAACGCUGGCGGCGUGCUUAACACAUGCAAGUCGAACGGAAAGGCCCUGCUUUUGUGGGGUGCUCGAGUGGCGAACGGGUGAGUAACACGUGAGUAACCUGCCCUUGACUUUGGGAUAACUUCAGGAAACUGGGGCUAAUACCGGAUAGGAGCUCCUGCUGCAUGGUGGGGGUUGGAAAGUUUCGGCGGUUGGGGAUGGGCUCGCGGCUUAUCAGCUUGUUGGUGGGGUAGUGGCUUACCAAGGCUUUGAUGGGUAGCCGGCCUGAGAGGGUGACCGGCCACAUUGGGACUGAGAUACGGCCCAGACUCCUACGGGAGGCAGCAGUGGGGAAUAUUGCACAAUGGGCGGAAGCCUGAUGCAGCAACGCCGCGUGCGGGAUGACGGCCUUCGGGUUGUAAACCGCUUUCGCCUGUGACGAAGCGUGAGUGACGGUAAUGGGUAAAGAAGCACCGGCUAACUACGUG